rnacentral:rRNA from 1 species
UAACGAAUCUUCCGCAAUGGGCGAAAGCCUGACGGAGCAAUGCCGCGUGUGGGAUGAAACGCCUUCGGCGUGUAAACCACUGUCAGGGAAUGGAACCAAUGAUUAUUCCCAAAGGAAGUGGCGACUAACUCUGUGCCAGCAGCCGCGGUAAUACAGAGGGUGCGAGCGUUAAUCGGAAUUAUUGGGCGUAAAGGGAGCGUAGGCGGAUGUGCAAGUGAUAUGUGAAAUACCCGGGCUUAACCUGGGAGGUCAUAUCAGACUGCACGUCUAGAAUGUGGUAGAGGAAGGUGGAAUUCCUGGUGUAGCGGUGAAAUGCGUAGAUAUCAGGAAGAACAUCAAUGGCGAAGGCAGCCUUCUGGGCCAUUAUUGACGCUGAGGCUCGAAAGCGUGGGGAGCGAACAGGAUUAGAUACCCAAGUAGUCCCUGAGCGGGCUGGCAAGGCGCAU